AGAGUUUGAUCCUGGCUCAGAAUCAACGCUGGCGGCGUGCCUAACACAUGCAAGUCGAACGCGAAAGUCCCGCAAGGGAUAAGUAGAGUGGCAAACGGGUGAGUAACGCGUGGGUGACCUGCCUUCGAGUGGGGGAUAACGUUCCGAAAGGGACGCUAAUACCGCAUGACAUCCCGCCCUUCAACGGGUGGCGAUCAAAG
rnacentral:rRNA from 1 species